GGGGAUGAGGUUAUUUUGAGACUUCUUUGGUGGAUUGGGAGCCCUUUUUUUUGGAUAUGUUAUAAGUGCUUUAUCCCUGGCUUGUAAUACCUCUGACUGAGUGUUGUUAAUGGCCCUUGGCAUUUUGGUUCUUGUCAACUGGCCCUGCUACAUUAUGAACACCACUGAAGAGAAACCUGUGUAUGUGAACCUGGUGACCUGAUCUCAGCCCAGUCCAAGUCGCUCAAAGCAGGAGUUCAACAGACUACCGUGAACUGAAGGUGCUUUGCAUCAUCAUCAAAGCCUCCAAUUCCCCACGGCUUUGGAGCUGGACCCUGGAGCAGCCUGUGGAUGGGGUGGAGUUCUGGUCCCGCCAGUGCUGUGCCAACUGCAAUGCUGAAUGACUGGCCCACUACAGUCGCACCUCCUCCCUGCUGCACCCUGAGGUCAUCUGCACCUCCUACGACUCCUGCCUCCAAUCAAAUGAGCCCAGUGAAGCCAUGUCAUUGCCAAUCACUAGAGGGCAGUGGUCGCCUGAAGCCCAGAUUCAGCUGGACUGCCCUGUGGUUCUCAGACUUUUAAAUUAGAAAUUGAAGUUUGGAUGGGUAAAUGAACACAUUCCCUCUACCUCAGGGCACAAGAUGUUUUGAGCAGGGUGUGCUGCCGACACAUGCUAUUGUGACAUCACUAUUUAACUGUUAGUUGCUUUAAUAUUUUCCUACAUACAAUCACGUAACUAUGCAAAACACACAUUUAUACUAGACUUUGAAUUGUAAGGUGAUCUAUUUAGACAGUAAAUUAUGCUGCCACAGCAAUUUUGUUUGUAUAGCCUAUGCACCACAACACGUGAAUUUGACAGCCAGUUGCACAAUAAUGCACCAAUCACAUCCGUUGCCUCUCAAGUGAUUACCACACACAUUCACAUAAUGUCUUGGUUACUGUCAUGAUCGACAUCUGCCACUUAGUAUUUUUAUUGCACACUACAUAGUAGCCGAGUAAAUCUCUAUAUCACAAAGCAUUGUCAAUUAAACUGAUCCUGCUUAGCGGCAGUGUGGUGAAUAACCAAAUGUCUUGUCUACACUUAGAAGGCCCCAAACGUAGACUUGCAUUCUGGUGUGUUUAUAAUUCUAAUGAGGGGUAAUAUUCAAUCCAUCCAAAAUGCCAUUGUCUGCGCACAUGCAAGACAGCCAGGUGUGUUAAUCUUCAGUCAUUCCGCAGCCUGGUCAUUAUCUGAAGAAAGGUAAAAAAAUUAUGUACAAUAGGCUACCAACCAGCAGGGGGUGCUGCAGCACUCUCGGCAUCCCUACUUCCUGUGCCUAUGCUCCACCUACGCACUUUAAAUACAUUUAUCAAUUCUGUGUUUUAGCACUGCAAUUUAAAAAUCACUGGUUUAACCUUUAAAUGCUUCAGAAUGUGUGUUGUUGAGAAAAUGAGACUUACAUCUUCAGCAUUGCUGCACUGCAAUUUGUGCUUAUUUAAUUUCAGUUAGGGGUUUAAUUAGUAUGAAUUAAGCAUAAGAUGUAUUAUAAUGAAUGUGCCUGUUAAUGUAAUAGCCCUUGCUGUCCAGGCUUUGUUCAAUGUGUCACAGGUGUGUAAUUUCACUGCCUCUGCUGUGUUAUUACUCAAACAGACUCUCUCUGUCUGCUGCAGAUAUGCCUUCACCUGCUUUGUGAAGCUAGUCACACUUCUACUCCUAUAGCGUCUGCAGUGUGUGUGUGAGAGCAUAAUGUCUGUGGAGGGGGCAGGUGGUGACUCGGCUAACGCCAGGAACCGUGGUAACCUGGAACUGCUUGAUCUUCAGGUUCCUAGUCUGGUACACACGCAGCUGACACAUCGAAUGAAAGCAUCAUCUAAACACGGUAGAAUGCAAUCGCACAAACAAACCAGACAGCUGCUGCUACAACCAGAUGGUGCUGGACAGGGACGCUCAGGGCUGAUGGGGGGACGGGGAGGGGGGCGCAGGGGCAGGGAGGAGGAGGGGCUGUGUCUCCUCUGCUUUCAGCUCAAGACUGGCACAGAUUGUCAGACCAGCCCAGACUGUGCGACCUGCGUAGACUGUAAGACCUGCACAGACUGAGACCUGUGCAGCUUAUAAGACCUGCACAGACUGUGUGACCUGUGUAGACUGUGAGACCUAUGCAGACUGAGACAUGUGCAGACUGUACGUAACUGUAUUUGACGCCCAAUGAUCGCCCGUGUGUGGAGCGAGCGUGCCACCGGAGCGGGUCACUGCGUCCAGACUGCGUUAAGGAUGACGCGCGUGCCAGGCCACAGCAAGGUCAUUGGUUAGACCCUUAGCUCUCACCGUUUCAGCUCAUCUUAUGCUCAGAGCAGUCCCAUCUGCGGGGCUAAAUGCGGUGUCCAUGGAAACGCGUCGGAACUGCUGGGACACAGCUGUGAGAAGGAGACUUUUUCCUGCACCGCUCUGAAAAAAAUAGAAUACAUUUGCCAUGAAUCUUUCACCCCACAUUCACUCGCAAAACACUUGCGUCUUUUUCUCCCGCUUGUUUGUUUUGCUGUCAACUAGGCAAAGAGUUAUUUGUUUUUCCCAACUGUUUUAAGACAUUUCCUGAAACUA